UCCUCCGUCGACUACAUAAGAAAUCCUCCGUCGAACUUAAAGAUCCGCGGUUGGAUGGAAAAAUCCUUCGUCCAGUGGAAAAAUCCUCCGUCGAACUCAAAGAUCCUUGGUUGGAAGGAAAGAUCCGUUGGAGGAAUUUGGCUCAACUAAAAGACACAAGAAAUUGAAGAAAAGCAACCGGCCGUCUAGUUUCUG